UACGGAGGGGGCUAGCGUUGUUCGGAAUUACUGGGCGUAAAGCGCGCGUAGGCGGACCUGCAAGUCGGGGGUGAAAGCCCGAGGCUCAACCUCGGAACUGCCUUCGAUACUGCGGGUCUCGAGUCCGGGAGAGGUGAGUGGAAUUCCUAGUGUAGAGGUGAAAUUCGUAGAUAUUAGGAAGAACACCAGUGGCGAAGGCGGCUCACUGGCCCGGUACUGACGCUGAGGCGCGAAAGCCAGGGGAGCGAACGGG
rnacentral:rRNA from 1 species